UUGCCUCAGUAACGGCGAGUGAAGCGGCAAUAGCUCAAAUUUGAAAUCUGGCAUCAGCCCGAAUUGUAAUUUGUAGAGGAUGCUUCGGCUUACGUUUUGGUCUAAGUUCCUUGGAACAGGACGUCACAGAGGGUGAGAAUCCCGUUUGUGGCCAUAACUUCCGCCAUGUGAAGCUCCUUCGACGAGUCGAGUUGUUUGGGAAUGCAGCUCUAAAUGGGAGGUAUGUUUCUUCUAAAGCUAAAUACCGGCCAGAGACCGAUAGCGCACAAGUAGAGUGAUCGAAAGAUGAAAAGCACUUUGGAAAGAGAGUUAAAAAGUACGUGAAAUUGUUGAAAGGGAAGCGCUUGCAACCAGACUUGCCCGUAGUUGCUCAACUUGGUCUUCCGACCGGUGCACUCUUCUGCGGUCAGGCCAGCAUCAGUUCGGGUGGUUGGAUAAAGGCCUCGAGAAUGUAGCUCUCUUCGGGGAGUGUUAUAGCUCUUGGUGCAAUACAGCCUGCCUGGACUGAGGCCCGCGCUUCGGCUAGGAUGCUGGCGUAAUGGUUGUAAGCGGCCCGUCUUGAAACACGGACCAAGGAGUCUAACAUCUAUGCGAGUGUUUGGGUGUCAAACCCGUGCGCGUAAUGAAAGUGAACGGAGGUGGGAACUUUUGUGCACCAUCGACCGAUCCUGAUGUCUUCGGAUGGAUUUGAGUAAGAGCAUAGCUGUUGGGACCCGAAAGAUGGUGAACUAUGCCUGAAUAGGGUGAAGCCAGAGGAAACUCUGGUGGAGGCUCGCAGCGGUUCUGACGUGCAAAUCGAUCGUCAAAUUUGGGUAUAGGGGCGAAAGACUAAUCGAACCAUUAAAAAAAUGGCAUUACAAAAACUUUUUUUUUGUAAAAAGCUACUAGG
rnacentral:rRNA from 1 species